rnacentral:rRNA from 1 species
UACAGAGGUCUCAAGCGUUGUUCGGAUUCAUUGGGCGUAAAGCGCGUGUAGGCGGCUCGGUAAGUCUGCUGUGAAAGUCCAGGGCUCAACCCUGGGAUGCCGGUGGAUACUGUCGAGCUCGAGUCCGGAAGAGGCGAGUGGAAUUCCUGGUGUAGCGGUGAAAUGCGCAGAUAUCAGGAGGAACACCGGUGGCGAAGGCGGGUCUCUGGGCCUGUCCUGACGCUGAGGCGCGAAAGCUAGGGGAGCGAACAGG